UACGUAGGGUGCAGGCGUUAAUCGGAAUUACUGGGCGUAAAGCGUGCGCAGGCGGUCUUUUAAGUCAGAUGUGAAAUCCCCGGGCUUAACCUGGGAACUGCGUUUGAAACUGGAAGGCUAGAGUGUGGCAGAGGGGGGUGGAAUUCCACGUGUAGCAGUGAAAUGCGUAGAUAUGUGGAGGAACACCGGUGGCGAAGGCGGCAUUCUGGACCGACAUUGACGCUGAGGAGCGAAAGCCAGGGGAGCAAACGGG
rnacentral:rRNA from 1 species